UGGGGAAUUUUGGACAAUGGGGGCAACCCUGAUCCAGCCAUGCCGCGUGCGGGAAGAAGGCCUUCGGGUUGUAAACCGCUUUUAGCUGGGAAGAAAAGGCCAUCGUUAAUAGCGGUGGUUCUUGACGGUACCGGCGGAAUAAGCACCGGCUAACUACGUGCCAGCAGCCGCGGUAAUACGUAGGGUGCGAGCGUUAAUCGGAAUUACUGGGCGUAAAGCGUGCGCAGGCGGUUCGUUGUGUUUGCGGUGAAAGCCCCGGGCUCAACCUGGGAAUGGCCGUGAAAACUGGCGAGCUGGAGUGUGGCAGAGGGGGGUGGAAUUCCAGGUGUAGCAGUGAAAUGCGUAGAGAUCUGGAGGAACACCGAUGGCGAAGGCAGCCCCCUGGGCUGACACUGACGCUCAGGCACGAAAGCGUGGGGAGCAAACAGGAUUAGAUACCCUGGUAGUCCACGCCCUAAACGAUGGCAACUGGGUGUUGGGGGAGCGAUUCCUCAGUACCGUAGCUAACGCGUGAAGUUGCCCGCCUGGGGAGUACGGCCGCAAGGUUA
rnacentral:rRNA from 1 species